CUGAAAGCAUCUAAGCACGAAACUUGCCCCGAGAUGAGUUCUCCCUGACUCCUUGAGAGUCCUGAAGGAACGUUGAAGACGACGACGUUGAUAGGCCGGAUGUGUAAGCGCAGCGAUGCGUUGAGCUAACCGGUACUAAUGAACCGUGAGGCUUAACCUUACAACGCCGAAGCUGUU
rnacentral:rRNA from 1 species